rnacentral:rRNA from 1 species
AAAUAGAUACCCUGGUAGUCCACGCCGUAAACGAUGUGUGCUAGAAGUCGGGAUAACUCGGUUUCGAAGCUAACGCAUUAAGCACACCGCCUGGGGAGUACGGUCGCAAGGCUGAAACUCGAAAGGAAGUUGACGGGGACCCGCACAAGUGGUGGAGCAUGUGGUUUAAUUCGAUGCAACGCGAUGAACCUUACCAAGACUUGACAUACUCGGCAAAGCUAUAGAGAUAUAGUGGAGGUUAUCCGAUGUACAGGUGGUGCAUGGUUGUCGUCAGCUCGUGUCGUGAGAUGUUGGGUUAAGUCCCGCAACGAGCGCAACCCCUAUCUUUAUUUGCUAAUAUUAAGUUGAGGACUAUAGAGAGACUGCCUACGCAAGUAGGAGGAAGGUGGGGAUGACGUCAAAUCAUCAUGCCCCUUAUGUCUUGGGCUACACACGUGCUACAAUGGCCGGUACAAAGGGCUGCAAACUGGUGACAGUAAGCGAAUCCCAUAAAGCCGGUCUAAGUUCGGAUUGAAGU